AUGUAGCGGGGCUCAAGUACACCACCGAAGCUGCGGCAUUCACGCAAUAGCCCCCAGUUGAUCCAAGGAUUUUCUGGCAGGUGUGUGGAUGGGUAGGGGAGCGUCGUGUGGCCAUGGAAGCGGCAGGGUGACCUAGCCGUGGAGGCCACACGAGUGAGAAUGCAGGCAUGAGUAGCGAAAGACGAGUGAGAAACUCGUCCGCCGAAUGACCAAGGGUUCCUGGGCCAGGUUAAUCCGCCCAGGGUGAGUCGGGACCUAAGACGAGGCCGACAGGCGUAGCCGAUGGACAACGGGUUGAUAUUCCCGUACCCGUGUGAACGCGCCCAUGGUGAAUCAGUGAUACUAACCAUCCUGAAGCCACGAGAAGACCUUCGGGUCUCGAGUUGGUGGAUGCAUGGGACCUGAUCUGGUAGUAGCCAAGCGAUGGGGUGACGCAGGAAGGUAGCUGAGCCAGUCAGUGGUAAUACUGGUGUAAGCGUGUAGGGCGUGACCUAGGCAAAUCCGGGUCGCACACAAGCCUGAGACGUGAUGCGUAGCCGAUUGAGGCGAAUUCAGUGAUCCUAUGCUGCC
rnacentral:rRNA from 1 species